AUGACGCUUUGGAGCAUCACCCUGAGACUGGGACUAAAGUCUACCAGGGCCAGGGGAACCGAGAAGAGCAGGCUGCAGAGGCGGCUCCGCCUGCCUGGGGCAGGCAAGAAACCCAAGACGCUGGUCAGGCUUGAUGUCUGGGUGCUUCUGGCAACCUGCUGCGCCAUUGUCUGGCUGAAUAAGAGACACGCAGGUGAUGCGAAUGAAUACAGCUCAGAAUUCUUCCGAAGGAAGAAAAGGACGACGAACCCGGCGACCUGCAGUGCGGAGAUGGAGAGAUCCGGCAGCCACCGUUGCGCACUUCCCAGACAUACCAGGGGGGAGGAAAAGGAAAGGCGACGGACCUGAGAAUUAAGGCUCUGCAGCCUCACGUGCCAGGAGCAUUCUCCAUCUCUUCCUUCUCUCACCCCUUGCCCCCACCAGUCUCCACUGAAACUGGAGCUGCCCACAGGCUGUCAGAUGAGAGAUAAAGGAGCCUGGCGGCACCCAGGC
rnacentral:lncRNA from 1 species